GACCGCGUAGCUCAGUUGGCAUGCAGAGCAUUGGGCUAGUAUUCCAAAGGUCGUAGGUUCAAUUCCGGCCGUGGUCA